UUGACCUUGACCCCAAUUUUGCAGCUGUCGCAUGGAAGGAUACUGACACAUUUCCUUCUUCAUCCUCGUUGUAUCGACAUCAUGGGUGUUCGUUCAUCUCGAGAGCUUCAACAAGAAGAGAUCGAGGAAAUACAACGCGAAACUGGAUUUUCCCACAACCAGAUUGUGAGACUAUAUGGCAGGUUUACCAACCUUGAUAAGUCCAACAAUGGGGUACUUAGCCGGGAGGAUUUCUUGAGGAUACCAGAAUUGGCCAUAAACCCUUUGGGAGACAGAAUUGUGCAUUCUUUCUUCCAAGACAGGACUGAGGUCAACUUCCGGCAGUUCAUGAAUGUCCUGGCCAGGUUCCGCCCACUGAAGGCAAAAUCUGAGAGAAACAUCCUGAACACAAGGGAGGAAAAGUUGAUGUUUGCUUUCAAGAUGUAUGACCUUGAUGGAGAUGACCGGAUUUCCAAGGAGGAGCUUCUGUCUGUUCUACACAUGAUGGUGGGGGCCAACAUUUCAGAAGAACAGUUAGGCAGCAUUGCCGACCGAACAAUCGUGGAGGUGGAUGAGGACAAAGACACCAUGAUAUCUUUCCAGGAGUUUGUAAAGGCUAUGGACCGUGUUGAUGUCGAACAGAAGAUGAGCAUCCGGUUUCUUCAUUAACUGACAGAACUGAUGCAGAAACGGAUGCAAACGAGAAGAUGACAAUUACCAUGACAACAGCCAUAUUGGACUUAAAAAUAUUAUAUUGUUGAUUAAAUCAGUGACUCUGUGCUUUCAUGAACCAGUUAUGAACUGAUAAUAAGAUACUAAUACGACUAACUUGUUAUAUCUAAGCAGACAUUUGUAAUGACCAAACUUAAGCAGAAUGUUGGCAGUCAGGUGUUUAAGUUAAUUAUUGUCAAGGAAUAACGGGUAACAUGAAGGAUUUUACAGUUCAUCCUUGUAAGACACUUAAAUGAAAAUGGGUUGAUAAUUCCACUUACAGAAGACUUAUGCACUGACUAAGAAAUAUAUUUUCAGCACAUUUUGUCAUUAAAUGUCUAACUAUCUGGGCAUUUGCAACAAAACACAUUGGUCAGUAAUGGAAGAACCAGCAAUUGAAUCCUACAUUUCACAACAUUCCAUUUUAGAUGCUUUUUAAUCAAAUUUCUUUACAGAACUGUUGUGAUUAUGAUAAUUUGAUCUUCAAGGCAUAAAGCAUGUAUGUUUAUCCUCAGUCAGCUCCCGACAUGUAAGCAGUUUAUUACAGGAAAAAAGGGUACUGUUAAUUCUCAUCCAUGGAUAGUACACUUUAUCAAAAUAUGAAAAUCAACCUUCCCAUACAAAAACCUUUUUGUCAUGACUGCAAUUUGGUUCUAGGGUUAUUUCUUUUCCUAUCUCAUAUCAUAUGGAUGUUUUGGUUUCAUAGAACAUAAAAAUACUUUUUCUUAUCUUCCCGUAAGUUUAGGACAUGCUUAAGCAUGUAGGCCAGUCAACAUUGUCUCCUUUUAAAGAUUUACUAUUUUUAAUCAUUGCACUUAGAGACUUAGAGUAGAAUGUUUGAUGUUUAUGGGAUACCUUUCUACUACAUUCUGUAUUUUUUUACUUCAUGUUUUGUCUUUGAAUGGCUUCAUAAAUUGAUACCCCUAAGGAAGAGAAUUUAUCCAUAAGUUCUCUUCCUUCAUGUUUUAUUUUUUUUACUUUUAUCAAUACCACCAAACCAAGAUUCAUUUAUAAAUAAACAAAUUUCUGGUUCGCCCCUGUGGUUGCCAUCAUGCUGUGAUCAUGGGUUCGAAUCCCAGCAGACUCACACUGAUUAUGAUCCUUAGCUUGCCUGUUCCGUGCUCGUGUUUGUAGGUUUUGUCAAAGUGAUAAACUGCUGAGACCAAUGUUACUUCUGGCUUUUCCCCAAAACUGAAGCUUUCACACAAUGACCAACUGUUCAAACGUGGACUUGCGCACAAAUUACUCACUAAAAUAUUACAGUUAGUGUGAGAUUCAAUGGAACAGAUCAGUUAAGUAUUUGAAUGAGGCCAUGAGUUUAAUACUGUCAUCCCAUAAAAUGUGAAAUCCUACAUUUGGUCAAUGAUGUAGAAGAGCAUCAGGGUCCUGGGUGCCGUUCCACUAACCUCUCUUCUUCUUCACGUAGAAGAAUGAAAGCCGCCAUUUUGGUUUCUCUUUGUUCAUGAGCAACUUUGACUUUGGAUCUUAACUUUCUAUUGACUUGGGCUAAGAUCGGUUAGUGGAACGGUAUGCCGAUCGUAACGUCACGCUAACAUUGGGAUUUUUGGGGGUUUACGAUUGGCGUAGGGCUAAGAUCGGUUAGUGGAACUGCACCCUGUUCCACAAAGCAAUCUUAGCUCAACGAUGGUUAUAAAGACCAUAUCUUAUCGCAACUUAUGACAGUCGUUGAUCGUGGAUCGCUUUGUGGUUUAGGAUUCUGAUCAUGAUAAUGACAUUGUCUGUUAUAUAGCUUGAGAUGUUUUGCACUGAAGAAGUCCAUGAUAGUUGAUAUUUGUCAUAUGUUAGAUCUUUGCAAUACCAGCAUCUUUACACCAACUGUUGACGAUGCUAGUGUCUUCAUUAUGGGGCUCCUGGUUGAUGUUGAUGUAUAGAUGUGACUAUAAGAAAAUAAUAGACGUGCUAUGUACUUUGUGUGUGUGUGUGUUGAAAAAACCACUUGCCUUCAGCUAGUAAUGCAUGUUAUGGUGCUAUUCUGCAGCAUGCUUGUGAUGUUUAGCAUUCAGCUGUGAGAUAUGCGCUUAUAAGGGACAUUUUUUAAAUGGGUUAGGAUGACAUCGUUUGGUAUCAAUAUUUUUUCCAGACAACCUAUAUGUGUGGCCUUUUCAGUUACUAUGUAAUCUCUGAGGACAUAUCACAUCAUAUCAUGGCAGGUUUACCUGCUGGGGUCUCCUUAUUCAUGGCAUCCCAAUCUCAGUAAUGGCUGACCAAAAGCAUGUUUCAUUAUAGCUGGCAUCAGUAAUGAGUGACACAGAUUGCAUCUGGGCAGGGGUCACUGCACUUCACUACACAGUGAACAAAGGUUCAAAUCCCAGAUUCUCCAUGAUUAUGAGUGAGGUUUGUCAGCAUCAUGCCUAUUCUCGGGGAUCUCACCAAAGCAGAAAGGUGUAACACUUGCAUCACUGGGCUAAAUCAUGCUGGCUUAAUAUAUAGUGGUCUAAGGGGCUUGGUGCAAACUCACUCGUCUCACCAGCUCUUCUCUGCAUAUCAAUUAUAGUUUAUAUCACUUCAGUUUCAGCAUCCAGUAAAUGUGUUCAGUAGUAGCAUUUGGUGAUCCUCUCCUACCACUCCCAAGGCCAGACAACCUGCCCCUCCUCUGUUCCCUGCCCUUACACUCCGAUGACAUGUGUGAGUACACUGAACACAUGUGACACACAAAAUACUCUAAAAUCUUUUUAGUUGUAUGUAAAACUGAAUAGUAACAUUGAUGAACUGAUACUGGCAGGGUGUGUAUCAAGGGAAAGGUGAUAGGAGCAGUAAAUUUUCCCACCACGCUCUCUCUCAAUGUCAUUUCUCUGAUGGGCGAUAAGAAUCUUUACUUGUGAAAUUCCAAGCAAUAAUUUGUCCAGUCUGAAAAUGAAGAAACUCUCUGUUGUAUUACUCUUUAUAAGAUACUUUAAGGAUUGCAUUUCUCUGAAAUUGUGUUAUUUCAGAAACUCUAUGUUAGCCUACCUGCCAUAAUACAAUGUCAAUACUUGUGUCUGUUGUUGAGAAGUUGGUUGGUGGUUUGGUCACUUAGUCAGUGAUGUUAGUGGCUUUGCUUUCUGGCACCCACACAGCUGACUGCAUCAGCUAUUCUAAAGCUCACUGUGUCAAGUAACCCUUCUUGGCCUGCUUCCUCCGCUAAAUGUGAACAAGUUUACCUAAUGUGAUUAGAUAUAUUAAUUUAGAAUAGAGAGAUGUUUCACUUCUUUUCAACACAUGCGUAAGUUCUAUUUGCAAACCAAAUGCUGAAGAAAAGCAAGAAAUAUUUAUUGUGGCAAGUAGAGUCACGUUUCAGUCAUGUUUUGUGGAUUUCAAGCCCAACUGCUUGCCAGAUGUAGGUAAAAAGAAGUAACAGUAUCUCUGUUUAUCUCCACAAUCAAUCUAUUUUGACAGUUUUGGUUCGAUUUUUCCUUAAAGGAAAUAUUAAUCUACAUCUUGAAAUUGAGAGAAAGGGAAAAACUAGUAUGACCCAUGUCAGUUCAAUGAUAACAUUCGUGACUGUUGUAAAAUGGCAUUGAAAUUAUUAUUGAAAAGACUGGUCUAUGAGAAAAAGGUUGUUUUUCGGAAAGUAAGGUUCACAAAUGCACGCACAAUUCCUCCAAGCCUGCCAACUAGUUGAUGUUUCUCUUCUUGCCAUAUCACAAGUGAAAGCCAUAUCUCUCCUGUCUUCUAACAUUCAUGAUUCCUUUGUUUCACAGAACAUUGGAAUCAUGAAUCCAACCCAUGCUCUAUCCAAUGCACUGACUGUGACAUACCGGUAACUUUUAUUCAUAUAUUACACUGAAUGUCUAUUUUUGACUAAUUGUUAAUAAAAUAUCUAUAUAUU
rnacentral:misc_RNA from 1 species